GUGCUUGUUUUGGCAGCCCAUAUACUAAAAUUGGAACAAUACAGAGGAGAUUUGCAUGACCCUUAUGAAAGAAUGACAUGCAAAUUUGUGAAGCAUUCCAUAUUUUU
ensembl:snRNA U6 U6 spliceosomal RNA